rnacentral:rRNA from 1 species
UUAGAUUCUAAUUACUUUAUAUUUUAUUUUAUUUUAUUAAUUUUUAAUAAAAUUAUUUUACCUAAAUUUUUUUAGUAAUUUAAUGAAAAAAUAAUAAUAGUGAUAGUUAAUUAGUACUGUGAUGGAAUUUUGAAAUAUUAAAUAUUUAUUUUAAAAGUAUAACUUAAUUUUAGUACCUUUUGUAUCAGGGUUUAUUAAUUAAUAAAGAUUUAUUUUCAUUUCCCGAAUUCAAUAGAGUUAAUUUUUUGUGAAGUAUAAUGUUGAAUAAUUAUCUUUAACAUUAAAUUGGUAAUGAAAUGUUAUUCGUUUUUGAAAAUAUCUGGUUUCUUGAGAAUUGAAUUUAAUUCAGUUUAUGAAAUUAUUUUUUCUUAUUUUUAAGAAUAAUUUAUUUUAUAAAAAAGUUUUAUAGGGAUAAGCUUGUAAAAUUUAUAAUAAAUUUAUUUUAGAAUAAAAUUAAUAGGAUUAGAAAUUUUCAUUUUUUUAUAGAAUGUUAUAAUUAAUUUAUUAAAAAUAAAGAUUUAUUAGUUGUUUUUAUUUAUUAUCAGGAAAAAUUUUUUAAUAAGUUAAAAUUUAUAUAAUGAUAAAAUUAGUAUUAUAAUGAAUAAAUUUAAUUGAAUUGUGAAGAUGACAUUAAGGAAUUUAGCAAGAUUACAUCCGCCUGUUUAACAAAAACAUGUCUUUUUGAGAAUAAUUUAAAGUCUAAUCUGCCCACUGAAUAUUUAAAGGGCCGCAGUAAUUUGACUGUGCAAAGGUAGCAUAAUCAUUUGUCUUUUAAAUGAAGGCUUGUAUGAAUGAUUGGACGGGGUGUAAACUGUCUCAACGUUAAAAUAGUAAAAAUUUAGCUUUUUAGUAAAAAGGCUAAAAUUUUUUUGGAGGACGAGAAGACCCUAUAGAUCUUUAUAUAAAUUAUUAAUUAUUUAAAUGGAUAUAAAUAAUUUAAUUAUUAAAUUUUAUAUUUUGUUGGGGUGACAGGAAAAUUGAGUUAACUUUUUUUGGAAGAUAAACAUAAAUUAAUGAAUGUUUGAUCCAUUUAUAGUGAUUAUAAGAACAAGUUACCUUAGGGAUAACAGCGUUAUUUUAUUGGAGAGUUCUAAUCGAUAAUAAAGUUUGCGACCUCGAUGUUGAAUUAAAGAAACUUUAAAGUGCAGCAGCUUUAAGAUGUAGGUCUGUUCGACCUUUAAAACUUUACAUGAUUUGAGUUCAGACCGGUGUAAGCCAGGUCGGUUUCUAUCCUCAAAAAAUAUGAAAUAAUUUAGUACGAAAGGACCAAUUAUUUAAAUUACAUUUUAUAUUAUGAAUAAAAUUAAUUAUUU